rnacentral:rRNA from 1 species
GGAUAACCUGCCCAAGGGUCCGGGAUAACCCCGGGAAACUGGGGAUAAUACCGGAUGGAUCACUUAUGCUGGAAUGCUUGGUGGUCGAAAGGUGACGCCCUUGGAUGGGUCUGCGGCGGAUUAGGUUGACGCCGGUGUAACGUACCGGCGUGCCUGUAAUCCGUACGGGUUGUGGGAGCAAGAGCCCGGAGAUGGAUUCUGAGACACGAAUCCAGGCCCUACGGGGCGCAGCAGGCGCGAAAACUCUACAAUGCAGGCAACUGCGAUAGGGGGACAUCGAGUGGCAUCCACCUUGGGUGCCUGUCCCACCGUCUAAAAAACGGUGGUUAGCAAGGGCCGGGCAAGACCGGUGCCAGCCGCCGCGGUAAUACCGGCGGCUCGAGUGGUGGCCGAUAUUAUUGAGUCUAAAGGGUCCGUAGCCGGCUUUGCAAGUCCCCUGGGAAAUCCAGCGGCUUAACCGUUGGGCUUUCAUGGGAUACUACAUUGCUUGGGACUGGGAGAGGUAGGAGGUACUCGGGGGGUAGGGGUGAAAUCCUGUAAUCCCCCGGGGACCACCGGUGGCGAAGGCGUCCUACCAGAACAGGUCCGACGGUGAGGGACGAAAGCUAGGGGCACGAACCGGAUUAGAUACCCGGGUAGUCCUAGCCGUAAACGAUGCCCGCUAGGUGUCACGGCGGUCGUGAAUCGCCGUGGUGCCGUAGGGAAGCCGCGAAGCGGGCCACUUGGGAAGUACGGCCGCAAGGCUGAAACU